GCCGGGAUGGCGGAACUGGCAGACGCGCUGGAUUCAAAAUCCAGUUCCCGCAAGGGAGUGAGGGUUCGAUUCCCUCUCCCGGCA
rnacentral:tRNA from 1 species